AGCGAACGCUGGCGGCAGGCCUAACACAUGCAAGUCGAACGAACCUUUCGGGGUUAGUGGCGGACGGGUGAGUAACACGUGGGUACGUGCCUUUAGGUUCGGAAUAACUCAGGGAAACUUGUGCUAAUACCGAAUGUGCCCUUCGGGGGAAAGAUUUAUCGCCUUUAGAGCGGCCCGCGUCUGAUUAGCUAGUUGGUUGAGGUAAUGGCUCACCAAGGCGACGAUCAGUAGCUGGUCUGAGAGGAUGAUCAGCCACAUUGGGACUGAGACACGGCCCAAACUCCUACGGGAGGCAGCAGUGGGGAAUCUUGCGCAAUGGGCGAAAGCCUGACGCAGCCAUGCCGCGUGAAUGAUGAAGGUCUUAGGAUUGUAAAAUUCUUUCACCGGGGACGAUAAUGACGGUACCCGGAGAAGAAGCCCCGGCUAACUUCGUG
rnacentral:rRNA from 1 species